UGGGGAAUAUUGCACAAUGGGCGCAAGCCUGAUGCAGCCAUGCCGCGUGUGUGAAGAAGGCCUUCGGGUUGUAAAGCACUUUCAGCGAGGAGGAAGGUGGUGAACUUAAUACGUUCAUCAAUUGACGUUACUCGCAGAAGAAGCACCGGCUAACUCCGUGCCAGCAGCCGCGGUAAUACGGAGGGUGCAAGCGUUAAUCGGAAUUACUGGGCGUAAAGCGCACGCAGGCGGUUUGUUAAGUCAGAUGUGAAAUCCCCGGGCUCAACCUGGGAACUGCAUUUGAAACUGGCAAGCUAGAGUCUCGUAGAGGGGGGUAGAACUCCAGGUGUAGCGGUGAAAUGCGUAGAGAUCUGGAGGAAUACCGGUGGCGAAGGCGGCCCCCCUGGACGAAGACUGACGCCCAGGUGCGAAAGCGUGGGGAGCAAAACAGGAUUAGAUACCCUGGUAGUCCACGCUGUAAACGAUGUCGAUUUGGAGGUUGUGCCCUUGAGGCGUGGCUUCCGGAGCUAACGCGUUAAAUCGACCGCC
rnacentral:rRNA from 1 species